CAUAAAUGUAAUUUAUUUUUCAGGUGUUUUAAUCUGUGAUCAAGAACGAAACCGAAAAAUAAAAAAGGAAAUGAGAAGGUUUGGAGCUUAUUGCACCACGCUGCUCCAGUGCGGGUUGAUGGAAUGCACAUGUGGCAGAAUUUCAGUGAAAUAAGACACAUGCAGGGUAGCAGAAGGUCAUUCGUCUGAGAACACUUCAGGAUGAUAAUUAAACAAAACAACAACAAAAGAAAUUAAAUGUCAAAACUGCUUCUUGGUGAUGGGAUUUUUAACAGCUGAAGUCCUUGUAGCUUGUUGUUAAUAUUAUUUUAAUAAUAUUUUUGACAAUUAUUAUAAGAUACCAUGAUAUCAUGACACGGUUAACUUCUAAGCUAAUAUGUUUACAAAUCGAGCCGAUUUAUUUGUUAAGUUUCCACGUCUUAACUACUCGAGCAAACAUGAUGAAAUAUUCCACACACGUUGGCCUGCCAAUAGUACAGCAUAGAACAUUGGAUGCCCAACACCCAAGACUAUAACACCCAACAUGCAAACAAAGCCGCGAAUGGAAAUUAGUAUUAAAACACUUGAAUUUAAUGAAGCGAAUUGAAACUGGCGAUAUAUGCUUUGACAGAUCGUACAGUUAACAAAAAAAAAAUCUAAUUUUAUUUGAUAUAAUUUUUAAUUUUAUAACUUUUAAAAAGUUAAUACAUUACCUAAUAUUCCUCAUACUUAUUAUUUUUUUAAUCUAUUAAAUUGUUAUUAAAUACAUAAUUUAUUUUAAAAGUCGAGAUGGCCUAGUGGUUAGAACGCGUGAAUCAUAACCGAUGAUCGUGUCAGAUCCGGGCUAAUCAUCUUAAACUAAACAGUAAUAAGCUGAAUUUUUCGAUCUAUCUACGGUUAGAGGAAUGUAUGUCUGUUACAAAAACGCGAUGGAAAUUAACAGUGAACGUACGUACAUAUGAGUUUAUGAGUAUGUACCGCAACAGCCUGUAAAUGUCCCACUGCUGGGCUAAGGCCUCCUUUCCCUUUUGAGGAGAAGGUUUGGAGCUUAUUCUACCACGCUGCUCCAAUGCGGUUUGUUAGAAUACACAUGUGACAGAAUUUCGAUGAAAUUAGACACAUGCAAGUUUCCUCACGAUGUUUUCCUUCACCGUCAAGCACGAGAUGAAUUAUAAACACAAAUUAAGCACAUGAAAAUUCAGUGGUGCUUGCCCGGGUUUGAACCCACGACUAUCGGUUAAUAUUCACGCGUUCUUACCACUGGGCCAUCUCGCCAUGAGUAUGUACGUUCGUUGUAAAUUUUCGUCACGCAUUUUACGAGAUGGAAAAUAAUUAAACAACGAGUGGUUUAUUCAACAAGAACUUGAUUAUGUUCUUAAUGAACUGAAUAUAGCUGAUUGGUGCAAUUUAUAUCAAUGAAGGGGAGAAUAUAAGGAAAGGAUACCAAGAUAAAGAAGAAUCAACAGAAGAAUAGAAAAAAUAAAGGAAUAAAAGAGGAGAAAGAGAAGUUAUAUAAAACUUGUAAACCAUUGUGAUAUUAUAAAUUAUUUUUAACUUUAUUAAGAAAUCUGUUUUUUUGCACGCUGUAUAAAUUUGUUAACAAUGAAUGCGCGAAUGAGACAGCAUUAUUAGUGCCAUUUUCAAUUUGUUUCUUAACGCUAAGCGUUAUAAGAUUAUACAAUUCAUCUCAAUAACAACUUAACAUCAACAUUUCUUAAAGAUUUACUAAUGAGAAUGAUUCACUAACGAAUUAAGCUAUUAUCGCACAUCAAGAAGUUUCUACUGUAUGAAAUCAUAGUAUAUGACUUUUGUAAAUGACCUAAUUAAUGAUUUUAUAUAAAGAAAAUCCCAUGGGUGACCAGAUGGCAAAGAUGUUCCAAAUUUUUUUUUUCGAAAUUAUCACAGCGACAGUAUUCAAUCUAUGAUAAGCUUUGAGUUUUUUGCCUUUGUAAACAAUGUGUAUUCUGUAUUUUGAAUUACGAAUUGAACAUAAAGGCAUUUUUUAUUAAAUCAGAUUUAAUAGUAUUUCUUAACAUCAAUUAGC